rnacentral:rRNA from 1 species
CCCGCUGAACUUAAGCAUAUCAAUAAGCGGAGGAAAAGAAACUAACAAGGAUUCCCUUAGUAACUGCGAGUGAAGAGGGAAGAGCUCAAAUUUAAAAUCUGGCAGUGUCUUGCUGUCCGAGUUGUAAUCUAGAGAAGUGCUGCCCGUGCUGGACCAUGUACAAGUCUCCUGGAAUGGAGCGUCACAGAGGGUGAGAAUCCCGUCUUUGACACGGACUACCAGGGCUUAUGUGAUGUGCUCUCAAAGAGUCGAGUUGUUUGGGAAUGCAGCUCUAAAUGGGUGGUAAAUUCCAUCUAAAGCUAAGUAUUGGCGAGAGACCGAUAGCGAACAAGUACCGUGAGGGAAAGAUGAAAAGAACUUUGGAAAGAGAGUUAAACAGUACGUGAAAUUGUUGAAAGGGAAACGCUUGAAGUCAGUCGCGUUGCCCAGAAAUCAACCUUGCUUUUGCUUGGUGUACUUUCUGGUUAACGGGUCAGCAUCAAUUUUGACCGGUGGAUAAAGGUCAGGGGAAUGUGGCAUCUUCGGAUGUGUUAUAGCCCUUGGUUGCAUACAUCGAUUGGGAUUGAGGAACUCAGCAUGCCGCAAGGCCGGGUUUUUAACCACGUACAUGCUUAGGAUGCUGGCAUAAUGGCUUUAAUCGACCCGUCUUGAAACACGG